UGGUGGAGUGAUUUGUCUGCUUAAUUGCGAUAACGAACGAGACCUUAACCUGCUAACUAGCGAUGCGUGUGCCCGUCAUUGUGCGGCACAGGCAGCCCGCUUCUUAGAGGGACUGUCGGCGCUCCUCAAGCCGACGGAAGUUUGAGGCAAUAACA
rnacentral:rRNA from 1 species